rnacentral:rRNA from 1 species
GACGAACGCUGGCGGCGUGCCUAAUACAUGCAAGUCGAACGCAGUGGGGACGGGUGAGUAACCCGUGGGUAACCUCCCAUCAGAGGGGAUAACACUUGGAAACAGGUGCUAAACCGAUACUGAUGGAUGAACCCGCGGUGCAUUAGCUAGUUGGGUAGGUAACGGCUAACCAAGGCCACGAUGAAUAGCCGACCUGAUAGGUUGUUCGGCCACAUUGGGGCUGAUAACCGGUCCAGAAUCCUACGGGAGGCAGCAGUAGGGAAUCUUCGGCAAUGGACGAAAGUCUGACCGAGCAACGCCGCGUGAGUGAAGAAGGUUUUCGGAUCGUAAAACUCUGUUGUUAUGGAAGCGGUAUCUAACCAGAAAGCCACGGCUAACUACGUGCCAGCAGCCGCGGUAAUUC